rnacentral:snRNA from 1 species
GGAUGUAAGGGCGAUCUGGCUGCGAUAUCUGUCACCCCAUUGAUCACCAGGGUUGAUUCGGCUGAUAUGGCUUGCUAGGCAGGUGUUCCCUUCCUCCCUCACUCCAUGUGCGUCCCUCCCGAAGCUACACGCUCGGUCAAAGAGGAUGACCAUCCCCGAUAGAGGAGUAGCUGCGGUCCCCUGGUAGAACCUCCAAGCAAGCUCACAAAAGAGAAAUGGAUGAUGCAGACCAGCAAGAUGAAGAGGCUAGCACUAGAUCUUGAAGGUCAAGCUGAGAAAUUU